rnacentral:rRNA from 1 species
UCGCUCUUCAACGAGGAAUCACUAUAUAAGCACAAGUCACUGGCUUGUGCUGAUUACAUCCCUGCCCUUUGUACACACCGCCGGUCGCUACUACCGAUUGAAAGGUUUAAUGAGGCCCUCGGAUCGGAGGUGAGGACUGGCAACAGACCUCGCUUUCUUGAAGUUGGUCAAACUUGGUCAUUUUUCCAGAAGUAAAAGUCGUAACAAGGUUUCCGUAGGUGAACCUGCGGAAGGAUCAUU